rnacentral:misc_RNA from 1 species
CAGGGAUUGUAGUGGAAAGCCCGAAGUGCGCUGGCUCAAGCGUGGACGGACUUGGAACGGAAAGCCCGGCCCCGA